GUGUUUUCCUGUGUUUUGUAGUUAUGCAAGGAUCCAUCAAGCAUGCCUUUGGAAAAAAAUGACCACCGCCUCCCGCUGAUUCAACAAUUGUUACAGGAGAGAGUCCCUCUGACUGGUCAAUGUUAUGGAAGGAUCCAAAAAGCUCGCCUUUGAAAAAAAUGUUACCUGUGACCACCGCCUCCCGCUGAUUCAACAAUUGUUACAGGAGAGAGUCCCUCUGACUGGUCAAUGGUCCACUGCAGUUGGAAUUGUUACCAUACCUCACAAAUUCAGAGUACCAUUGUGAGCAAAAGUGGCCUGUCGCAGAUUACAACAGGCCUGAUGAGCUACUCAGGUGUUACAAACUGAACUCAGCAGAGGCCAAGGGCAGCUGUGGCCCAAUGGUUAAGAUCAGAGUCUGCCACUGUGGUUCAAGACCCCGACUGGACCAUCCGCCAACAUCCCCCGGACUCACGGCUGUGGUGUCCUUGGGCAAGACACUGAUACCCCGAAAUGCUCCCUGGGCGCUUCAGCUGCCCCCUGCUCCAGUGUGUUCCACUAACACUGUAUGUGUUCAUGGCCACCCCAAGGAUAAAAGUCUAGCUCUGCCACUGACUGACUGAAUUGGCAAAUGUUAUUACACCUUCAAAAUGACAGACCGGUUGAUUUGUACCCCAGCACCUGAAUUUGGUUUAUGUGUUCACACAUGAGCAAACGAACCAAGCAGCUAAACAAAGAAGAUUUCAAUUAAAAUGGACCAAACUACCGGUAUACGAAAAGCAUCUAAUGUGUUUUAAACACAAAAAUAUUGCUGCAUAAAGUGUCACCCAUGAAGUCUUUGCUUGCUGUUCCAGUUCAAGCACGGAUGCAUGAUUUUGCUUAAAACCGCCAUUCAGAUUAUGCCUACCCCAUGAUGUUGUGAGAAUAUCUUGGAUGAAGGUCUGGUUGUAAGUACACUGUGAGGAGGGAAAGUGGUUUAUCACAGACACCACCUCUAGGCCAAACAGGUCAGGAAGAUAUACUGCAUACACACACAAUCGAAGACGUGUGAGAAAAUGACAUCGGUCUUGAUGCCCUGACCCCCUACGCACACACACACAACCGCCCCUACUCACUUCACUCUCAUAUCUCCAGGCCCAGCUGUGUUUUACAGAAAUAGGCUUUCGCAGUUGCCGACACUAAAUCCUCCUUUGAGGUCGAAGCCUUGAUUAUGUACUGUCUAAACUGCUCAAAAGUUCCUGACAUGUCAUGUUUGAUGCCUUGUUUAGUCUAAAAUGAGUCAGGUUUUCUAGUUCACAUUUUAAAAUGCUGUUUUAUGGGCAGAAGCUACACUUUGAAUGACCCAAAUGUAUGACAAUCACCAAUCAGAUGUGCCCUAUUACGUUAUUCAAACAAAUACAGUACACUAUGAGGGACAGUCAAAAGGUAUGUGCCCAAUUCAAUAUACAGUA